rnacentral:rRNA from 1 species
GCCAUCAUUCGUACUACGUCUGGUGUACCAGAUUCCGUCGGAUCUCUAAAUUUAAGCGGCGAAAGGCUUCUUUAGUACUGCAAUAGACUCCAAGUGGAUUCCCUGGAUGAUGACGAUC